CGGAGGAAAAGAAACUAACAAGGAUUCCCCUAGUAACGGCGAGUGAAGAGGGAAGAGCCCAAGAUUGAAAGCUGGCGUCUUCGGCGUCCGCAUUGUAAUCUCAAGAAGUGUUUUCCGCUUCGGACCAUGCCUAAGUCCCUUGGAAAAGGGCAUCAUAGAGGGUGAUAAUCCCGUACAUGGCAUGGAGCGCCCGAAGCUUUGUGAUACGCUUUCUAAGAGUCGAGUUGUUUGGGAAUGCAGCUCAAAAUGGGUGGUAAAUGCCAUCUAAGGCUAAAUAUUGGGGAGAGACCGAUAGCGAACAAGUACAGUGAUGGAAAGAUGAAAAGAACUUUGAAAAGAGAGUUAAACAGUACGUGAAAUUGCCAAAAGGGAAGGGUAGGAGGUCAGAGAUGCGGCCUAGGAUUCAGCCUUGCUUUUGCUUGGUGUUUUUCCUAGGUUGCAGGCCAACGUCGGUUUUGGGCACUGGAGAAGGGUGGAAGGAAUGUGGCACCUCUCGGGGUGUGUUAUAGCCUUCUACUGGAUACAGCGACCGAGACCGAGGACAGCAGCGUACUCGCAAGAGCGGGCCUUCGGGCACCUUUACGCUUAGGGCGUUGGCAUAAUGGCCCUCUACCACCCGUCUUGA
rnacentral:rRNA from 1 species